rnacentral:rRNA from 1 species
UACGAAGGGGGCUAGCGUUGUUCGGAUUUACUGGGCGUAAAGCGCACGUAGGCGGAUCGAUCAGUCAGGGGUGAAAUCCUGGAGCUCAACUCCAGAACUGCCUUUGAUACUGGGAGCCUUGAGUUCGGGAGAGGUGAGUGGAACUGCGAGUGUAGAGGUGAAAUUCGUAGAUAUUCGCAAGAACACCAGUGGCGAAGGCGGCUCACUGGCCCGAUACUGACGCUGAGGUGCGAAAGCGUGGGGAGCAAACAGG